AUACGUAGGUGGCAAGCGUUGUCCGGAAUUACUGGGCGUAAAGGGCGUGUAGGCGGCCAUUUAAGUCAGAUGCGAAACUCCCGAGCUUAACUUGGGAACUGCAUUUGAAACUGGGUGGCUUGAGGACCGGAGAGGGCAGUGGAAUUCCCAGUGUAGCGGUGAAAUGCGUAGAUAUUGGGAGGAACACCAGUGGCGAAGGCGACUGCCUGGACGGCACCUGACGCUGAGGCGCGAAAGCUAGGGGAGC
rnacentral:rRNA from 1 species